AUUGAACGCUGGCGGCAUGCCUUACACAUGCAAGUCGAACGGUAACAGGUUAAGCUGACGAGUGGCGAACGGGUGAGUAAUGUAUCGGAACGUGCCCAGUUGUGGGGGAUAACUGCUCGAAAGAGCAGCUAAUACCGCAUACGACCUGAGGGUGAAAGCGGGGGAUCGCAAGACCUCGCGCAAUUGGAGCGGCCGAUAUCAGAUUAGGUAGUUGGUGGGGUAAAGGCUCACCAAGCCGACGAUCUGUAGCUGGUCUGAGAGGACGACCAGCCGCACUGGAACUGAGACACUGCCCAGACUCCUACGGGAGGCAGCAGUGUGGAAUUCUGGACAAUGGGCGCAAGCCUGAUCCAGCCAUGCCGCGUGCGGGAAGAAGGCCUUCGGGUUGUAAACCGCUUUUGUCAGGGAAGAAACGCUCUGGGUUAAUACCCUGGGGUAAUGACGGUACCUGAAGAAUAAGCACCGGCUAACUACGUGCCAGCCGCCGCAGUAA
rnacentral:rRNA from 1 species